CACCCCCGGCAAUGGGCAAAGAGACACCUUGUCUGUGAUGUUGUUGUAUCAGUCAGGGACAGAGCAGGUAUCACUGCUUGGUUCACCCUAGCUUGAUGCCUGGCUUGGUGGUUAAAGCUGUCUUAUGCCUAGGACUCAUAA